GACGAACGCUGGCGGCGUGCCUAAUACAUGCAAGUAGAACGCACAGUUUAUACCGUGGCUUGCUACACCAUAGACUGUGAGUUGCGAACGGGUGAGUAACGCGUAGGUAACCUGCCUGGUAGCGGGGGAUAACUAUUGGAAACGAUAGCUAAUACCGCAUAAUAUUGAUUAUUGCAUGAUAAUUGAUUGAAAGAUGCUAUUGCAUCACUACCAGAUGGACCUGCGUUGUAUUAGCUAGUAGGGGAGGUAACGGCUAACCUAGAGGAGGAUACAUACCCGCCCUCCGAGGCUGAUCGGCAACGCUGGGACGGAGACACGGCCCAGCAUCCUGCGACAGGGAGCAGUCGCGAACCUCUGGCAAUGGCAGCAAGUGUGAACGAUCGACGACGCGGGAGAGCAGAAGGUUGUCGUGUCGUAAAGCUCUGUUGUACGAGAAGAAUGGGUGUGAGAGUCGAAAGUUAACACAGUGACGGUACCUGAACAGAAAGCGACGGCUAACUACGUG
rnacentral:rRNA from 1 species